CCCGCUGAACUUAAGCAUAUCAAUAAGCGGAGGAAAAGAAACCAACAGGGAUUGCCUUAGUAACGGCGAGUGAAGCGGCAAAAGCUCAAAUUUGAAAUCUGGCAGUAAUGUCCGAGUUGUAAUUUGAAGAAGGUAACUUUGGUGAUAGCUCUUGCAUAUGUUCCUUGGAACAGGACGUCAUAGAGGGAGAGAAUCCCGUAUAUGGUGAGAUGACAUAUUACUAUGUUAAGUGACUUCGAAGAGACGAGUUGAGUGGGAAUGCAGCUCUGAGUGGGAGGUAAAUUCCAUCUCAAGCUAAGUAUUGUCGAGAGACCAAUAGCGAACAAGUACAGUGCUGGAAAGAUGAGAAGAACUUUGAUAAGAGAGUGAAAAAGUACGUGAAAUUGUAGAGAGGGAAGGGCUUGAAAUCAGACUUGGCAUGCAAUGAUCAAUUCUCUCUCGGGUAGAUGCGCUCGUCGUCUACUGCGACAACAUCGAUUUAGACGGGCAGAUAGUGACAGAUGAAUGUAGAUGUGCUUCCGUAAGCGUUAUAGCUUCUGUCUGAUAUCAUCAGCUUGGAUCGAGGACUGCGCAUCUCUGCUAGGAUGUUGGCGUAAUGAUUUUAAGCCACCACGCUUGAAACAAUG
rnacentral:rRNA from 1 species